AUAUUCAGCUGUUGAGAAAAUAAAGGGAAAUAGGACCUUAGAAAUUAGGAGGCAAUACAUCAGGUAAAAAGAGUAUUUCUGCAGUAGGUAGGAAACAGAAAAUCAAUAGAAAAAAAGAUAGAAGCAAUCCAGAGGAGGGAACCUGAAAGAGAUAAAAGGAAAUGGGCUGAGGUAGUGAAGAAGGGCAUGGAACAUGAAUCAAGAUUGUGACUGUGGAGUUAUAUGCAGGCAAGCAAAUGGAAGCCAUUAUUAAGAAGUAGGUAAAAAAGAGGAAAGGAGGAAAAAAGAAUCAAGAGAAAAAAGUGGCUGAGAAGAGAUUAAGAGUAAAAAGGAAGUAGUAGUUCUUCUCUCUACACUACAGCAAUCAGGAAUAGAGUGUGGAUACUCAGCAGAGAUUCUUCUUUCUACAGAACAGGAAUAGAGAAAACAAGAAUUUGGUUGGCAAAUAAAAUCCAGUGGAGAAAGGCACUUGGCAGACACCCAGCAAAGGAGACACCUAUUUGAAUAACCAGGGAUCAAGGCUAAAAGAAUCCCAAGUAGCAAUAGAACAAGCAGGCUGCAAGGGGGAAGAGCAACAUUCAAAGGAGUGAAGCUGUUGGGAAGUGGCAGCAGAAAUCAAGAAAACCCAAAGACUGGUUCCAUGAGAGGUCAACUCUAAAUGCAUCUAGGAAAAAAGAAGCUGAUCUGGAGAAGAUAUGAAUGUACAUACUAGGAGGAGGCUGAGGAUGGAUUUUAUGCAAAGAUGUAAUACACUUAGUAUUGAUUUGAAUUUGUGAUUAUACAUAUUGACUACAUUGUGAUUCUCCAUCUUCAUAAUGAUAACCUGACUAUAGAAAAGACAGAAACAGUCAAAAGGUUUACUCAGUAUGGAGAAAAAUGGACAAACUGAAGACUAUUCUCAGAAAAGUGGAAGAAUGAUAUUUCUGUAGUAUGGAAUGAAGCAUUAUAGGUGAACCAGAUUGACCUGCUAAUGUUAGUACGGUAUUAUUACUAUGGAAGAUGAACCAGAACACUUAAGUGGAGAUGGUCUUUCCCAUCUGUCAUAGCAGAUUGAUGAUGUCAUGCAUCCUUGCCCUUCUGAAAUGGUAAGUACUUCAUUUUC